AUCAAGAAGAAUGGCCAGGUACAUGUUAGUUGAUGUUGUGGCUAGCCAUGCAAUCCUCACAUUUAUGGAUAGAUAUUCAUGUUAUAAUAAUACAUUUAUGGCUAAAAAAGAUGCUCACAAAAUAGCUUUCAGAUGUCUUGAUGUGCUUGGAAUAUACAAGGAGAUUGUUAUGUCAUUUGGAGUUAGGACAAAAGAAUGCCGCAUACUAAACUGCUAUGAAUUUCACUUUUGAAGCUUAAAAUGAGUUUACUUUAGCAACUAUUUGAUUAACUUGGUGUCCUCAUCUUUAAAGGCAAACCUAAACUGGAUUCUAUUGUUUCGAUGAUGG
rnacentral:lncRNA from 1 species